UUCUCUACAUCAUGAAUGUCGAAAUGGCAAAUAAGAAGGCCUACUAGGCCUUCAAAAUCAGAUGUUUUGUUUCCAUCUAACUGUCCCUUUCGUUCAUUGUUAUGGAAUUUUAGCAGGAAACUGCACUCCUAACAUCAUUCUAUGUUUAAUUAACCAAAGUGAAAUCACCUUUCAUUAAAUAUCAUCACUCCGAGACUAAUCAGAGAGAUCCCACAACAUAGCCCCACAACCAUUUAGAAAACAUGGAUGAACAAUGUUUCUACUUGUAUCCAUACACUGUAAGAAGACUUUUGGUGCAAAGGCAAGUGUCCUUUUUCUUUUAGGGCAAACAAUGUCACUUGCCUUUAGAUCAAAAAGUCCAGUAGCACAGUGUAGUGAUAUGUUGUGGGCACCCCCUCUUGCUAAUGCGUUACUCGUUGUGGAUCCCGUUACUUCCCCUAGUUGAAAAUCUAGGUCACAUAAUAUUGUUGAUUCGGGUGCUGCACUGCUGACUAGUGACC